rnacentral:rRNA from 1 species
CCCCUGAUCGGCAGCAUACCAUGCAGUCGAACGGGGAUAGCAAUAUGUCAGUGGCAGACGGGUGAGUAACGCGUGGGAACAUACCUCUUGGUUCGGAACAACACAGGGAAACUUGUGCUAAUACCGGAUAAGCCCUUACGGGGAAAGAUUUAUCGCCGAGAGAUUGGCCCGCGUCUGAUUAGCUAGUUGGUGUGGUAAAGGCGCACCAAGGCGACGAUCAGUAGCUGGUCUGAGAGGAUGAUCAGCCACAUUGGGACUGAGACACGGCCCAAACUCCUACGGGAGGCAGCAGUGGGGAAUAUUGGACAAUGGGCGCAAGCCUGAUCCAGCCAUGCCGCGUGAGUGAUGAAGGCCUUAGGGUUGUAAAGCUCUUUUGUACGGGAAGAUAAUGACGGUACCGUAAGAAUAAGCCCCGGCUAACUUCGUGCCAGCAGCCGCGGUAAUACGAAGGGGGCUAGCGUUGCUCGGAAUCACUGGGCGUAAAGGGUGCGUAGGCGGGUUUUUAAGUCAGAGGUGAAAUCCUGGAGCUCAACUCCAGAACUGCCUUUGAUACUGAAAGUCUUCAGUAUGGGAGAGGUGAGUGGAACUGCGAGUGUAGAGGUGAAAUUCGUAGAUAUUCGCAAGAACACCAGUGGCGAAGGCGGCUCACUGGCCCAUUACUGACGCUGAGGCACGAAAGCGUGGGGAGCAAACAGGAUUAGAUACCCUGGUAGUCCACGCCGUANACGAUGAAUGCCAGCCGUUAGUGGGUUUACUCACUAGUGGCGCAGCUAACGCUUUAAGCAUUCCGCCUGGGGAGUACGAUCGCAAGAUUAAAACUCCAAGGAAUUGACCGGGGCCCGCACA